GCCGAAAUAGCUCAGUUGGGAGAGCGUUAGACCGAAGAUCUAAAGGUCCCUGGUGCGAUCCCGGGUUUCGGCA
rnacentral:tRNA from 1 species